UACUGAAAUACCAAUGGAGUUUAUCGUUAGAUUGUUCGAAUGAAUGUAUUAUUAUUAAUCUUAUUUAUGCCGGGGCAAGAACAACUGUUAUUCGAGGUAGAUCGGACAUAUCUUUCGCUUUUUGAAGAACAGGUGUAAGUUUAUAUUUUUUGAAAGCACAAGUUGACGGGAGGUUUGCGUGAGUGUCCGUAACAACGUGAUAGAAAACAAAGAUAAGUUUCUUGUCAAAAUGUUGCGAUCUACCUUCAAGUCGAUAUGAAUUGGCAAAAAGAUUACAGAUGAUUUCCAUGGCCAUAUUCGAGCGCGCUCGUCAAUAAUAGCAAUACAUUUCUUGGGGGUUAAGAACCUGUUCCUUCAAUAGUUUCGCGCGGAAAUGUUAAAGGAAUCUUUUCGUGGGGACUCAAUGACCUCGUGGUGACCGGAGGAAACGUUUGCUUUUGUGUCAAUGCCGUGCCAACGGACUUGAUACUAUUCGUUCAAACUAUGACGACGACGACGAAUACGAUGAUGACGACGAAUACGACGACGACGACGAGGAUGGAGGAUGGAGGAUCGGGGAUCGCGUAGUGACUCAGUUAACUAAUAUUAGAAGUUUCGAUGCUAGCGCCACCGAGACAUGCGGUUUCUCUUCGACUCGGCCGACUACGGGAGUCUUCGGCUGGUACGUUCUUUUCGAAUGAGUAAACACAGUGGAAUUCGACGCUUCAAGCGGACCUCGGCGCACAAGCUGACCGGGCUCAGCCUGCAGACAGGUGUAGCGCCAGCACCUGCUGUUGUUGUUGCUGCUGCUACUACUGCUGCUGCUGCCAGAACCUUCGUCGACGCAAGGAGACGAUAUUCUCACCUUUUUAACACCCUUAUAAAAUUUCUCGAAGAAUUCGUGAUGAUCUUAUCAUUUAAACGAUUAAUAAUUUAUUUAACGUUCAUUAUAACAACGAAGAAACGAAAUAUUUAUUGUGUUAACAUCUUCAAUGUGAAAGAUUGAAAUUUCUUAUAAAUCGAAAAAUUGAGAUAAGUACUGUUUUGAAAUGUAAUAUUUCGAGAAAGUUUGUCUCGAAAUUUCGAUGCAUUUAAUCAAUCGAUCUGUCGAUCGAUUUGUAGAUCGAUCGUUCGAUCGAAUGAAAAUUUCGAUUCUUAAAACGUAAUAUUCUUUAGUUUCUUCACAAUCGUGUAACAAGUAUUCAGGUGUAACUAUCCUGAAACGAGUCUUAUUUUUCUUUUAUAUAUUAUGUCGAUGUAUACAUUGUAUUUACAUUUCCCGAUUGUAAAGGGGAAGUGCCAACUUCAAGAGAAUGAAUAUAAUUUACCGGCAUUUCUGGAAUUCCUAGAUUUAGUAGGCUCAAUCGUGAUAAAAAUAAAGUUUCAAAAGUAACACCAUAUUUGUUGCAAAUAAAUUCGAUGAGUAAUAUGUAGAAAUCGUUCGAUACUUUAUAAUAGAAAUAUCUGAGGAAUAUUUAAAAUUUAGGUAACGAUCGAAUAAUCGGGUGAUAAUAAAAAUUCGCGGGCUUUCCUUCAGUAAACGCGGCAAUUUUUAAAUUGAUCGAAUCGUUGUUCCUGACCUAUAAAAAGAUAAGGGAGAUGGAAAGAAAGUUGAAAUAUUAGCGAAAAAAGGAAUGAAGGAAGAGAGAAAUAAAUAAAGAAAGAAAGUGAAAGACCGAGUGAGAGAGAAGGUGGCUAGAAAGGGUCAGAAACCGUCGCAGUUCGUCGGAGCCACCUACCUUUUCCCGAUUCGUUGAACCGGUUCGCCUUUACGACGAGACGGGUAACCGCCUUGCAAGGGGUCGCUGACGCAGAGCCUUCGUUAAGCUCGAUUCACGAGGUUGCACUUUGGCGUUUCGAUAAGAGAGCUUUUUGCCUGUACGCGUAAUCCACGUGCGAUCAGCGAAGCACACCGUAUGAGAGAGAGAGAGAGAGAGAGAGAGAGAGAGAGAGAGAGAGAGAGAAAAAAGAGAGAGA